UACACACCGUCCGUCACACCAUGGAAGUCUGUUGCACCAGAAGUCGGUAGUCUAACCGCAAGGGGGGCGCCGACCACGGUGUGGCCGAUGACUGGGGUG
rnacentral:rRNA from 1 species